AUGAACGCUGGCGGCGUGCCUAAUACAUGCCAGUCGAGCGAACGGACGAGAAGCUUGCUUUUCUGAUGUUAGCGGCGGACGGGUGAGUAACACGUGGAUAACCUACCUAUAAGACUGGGAUAACUUCGGGAAACCGGAGCUAAUACCGGAUAAUAUUUUGAACCGCAUGGUUCAAAAGUGAAAGACGGUCUUGCUGUCACUUAUAGAUGGAUCCGCGCUGCAUUAGCUAGUUGGUAUGGUAACGGCUUACCAAGGCAACGAUGCAUAGCCGACCUGAGAGGGUGAUCGGCCACACUGGAACUGAGACACGGUCCAGACUCCUACGGGAGGCAGCAGUAGGGAAUCUUCCGCAAUGGGCGAAAGCCUGACGGAGCAACGCCGCGUGAGUGAUGAAGGUCUUCGGAUCGUAAAACUCUGUUAUUAGGGAAGAACAUAUGUGUAAGUAACUGUGCACAUCUUGACGGUACCUAAGCAGAAAGCCACGGCUAACUACGU
rnacentral:rRNA from 1 species